CAUUGUCAUUUGUCAUUUGUCAAAUCGAAAAAAAGUAGUUGUGAGACAUCUUUUUCUUUUCUAAAAUUAAUUUUCAAUUUUCCUUUGCACAAGGUUAACCACAGUCAAAACUCACAAUGCCAGAACUGACAGAGUUGGACAAGGCCACCGCCUCAAUGACAGAGAAGCGCAAAGAAGAGACAGCAUCGUCAGACAGUGACUCUGAUGACACCAUCCCAGAGUUGGAGGAUGCAGGGGCGCCAGGCGCGGGCGGCAUCACAAACCCGAUCGCGGGCAUUGACAUCGUGUCAAAAGCGAAACAGUCGCGUGGGGAGAAGAAGGCGCGCAAGAUCAUGAGCAAACUCGGACUUAAGCCUGUGCAAGGAGUUAACAGGGUAACAAUAAGGAAAUCAAAGAACAUCCUAUUUGUCAUCAACUCCCCAGAUGUAUACAAGAACCCACAUUCUGACACCUACAUUGUGUUUGGUGAAGCCAAGAUCGAGGAUCUGUCACAGCAAGCGACAAUGGCAGCUGCAGAGAGAUUCAAGGCACCAGAAACACAGACCGCAGGAAACGAUGCAGCCACUGCUGGCACUACGGUAGCACCAAUCGCAGAAGAAGAAGACGAAGAGUGUGUGGACGAGACGGAGAUUGACGAGAAGGAUGUGGAGAUAGUGAUGACGCAGGCCAACGUGUCGCGAGCGAAGGCGGUGCGCGCGCUCAAGAACAACCAGUCCGACAUAGUGAACGCUAUUAUGGAGCUGACAAUGUAGGCUUCGUAUGUAGUCACAAGAAUUAUUUUAUAUGUUCUUAGUUUUAAGACGCCAGUAUAUAUCCACCAAAGUCAAUCUCAAGGGACGUGAAACUGAAUUUGUUUUGGAAUGAUUAUGGGAUUGUAUAUAGUGUUAUUUACUUUGAAAUACAUUAUAGUAUUCUAAAUCAAA
rnacentral:misc_RNA from 1 species